CACCUCCCUCUACCUUCCUUUCUGCCCACAGAGGUGGGCCUGCUCUCCCCAGUCCCCUGGCUUCUGUUUCCGUUUAGCCAAUGGGCAGCCCAGGCAGGAGAUUGGAGGGAGGGAGGGAGAUUAGGGACUCUAUUCCUUGGGGAUCACUGGGCGCUGGCUGUGCCUCCUUUCCAGGUGGCCCUCUCCACACAACUCUCGCCUCCUGGGCUCUGGGACUCCCCUCUUUAGGCCUGCUGGCACCAGCCCUAGGGUCUGCAAAGUCCCUGUCAUCUCCCUGCCUCUGCUCACUUUGUGUCCUCUGUGAGCAGUAUUUGAAUUAAUACUCCUUGCAAUAUUACCUGGUCCACCAGCUGGCUGACCUGGGGCCACUCCCUCAACUGCUCCUUGUCUCUGUUGUCUGACGCCUCUUCAUGGAGUUGUCAGUAGGUCUAAGAAAUAACCAGCUAAGCGCCCAGCACGGAGCCAGGUGUGGAAUAAAAUCUCCAUGACUUUUACUUCCUUGAGGCCGGCUGAGGCCGGGCUCCCAUUCUGCCCUCGCUGCGAGGACGGAUUGGGGAGGGGAUGACAGCUCCUCCUCCUGGGGGAGAAUUCCCUGUAGCAGGAGUGAAAGCUUUGUCUUGGAGUUUGCCAAGUCAUCAUGGAAGGGACAAUCACAACCCCAGUGUAGUACCUCAAUCCUGGACCAUCCUCAGUAACUGGCCGUCCCAUUGAUUCCUUUGGCGACCACCCAGCUGCUGUGGGUAGUUUCUGCCAUGUCUCCUUCCCUCCCACCUCACAGGUAGGGCUGGGAGCCUGAAAAGGCAUCUCUAUAUUAAAGGGAGUCCUGGGACACUCCCCCUGGUGUCCUGGACUCACUACGCAACGACUUGACUUAUAAGAGCCAAGCAUGCGCAUCUCUUCCCAAUUCCACAUCAGUGAGACGGUAGCUGGAAAUCGGCCGUGGUGGCAGCAUUUACACCAGAGAAAUGCAAUACGCUUCACACCAGGGCUCUUCCCCAGGGGAGCUGGUUCUCCAACACUUACCAGCACCUCACUAGAUACGCCUCUCCAAAGAUCACCAACAUGACCAUAGGCGGGCUUUGGAAACAAUGCUCAGGUGGUGGUUUCUAACUCAGAUGGAAUCACCAUGGAGCCAGUUGAAGAUGGCAUCCUAGGUCCUACCGUAGCAGGUGUACCUCAGCACCCUUUGUCCACAUGCCACAGGCAGCAACAAAAACAGGGAGCACUCUCACCGUAUACCAGUCCCACCGCUGAAAGCUUUCUGCUCUCACCAACAAAUCAAUCACCUCCUUUCAGGAUACACAGCAAAAAAGUGGUCCUCCUGGAGUUCAUCUCAGCGGACAGAGUGUCAUUUUUGUUGGUUUUGAGUGAUCUUGGAAAAUGCGAAGUCAGUUGUUUUGUGUACUGGCCCAGUCCCAAAACUUGUCACAACCGAGCUCUGUGGGAGGAAAGAUAAAUCAGGAUGGGUGCAAGCCCUGGGGCCUUCACCAGAGUGACACAGCAUCACCAUAGCAUCCACCUCUUAGGAGAAUGGCACCUUCCUGAGACCUUCUAGAAAUAGACAUGCUUCCUUCCAUCUGGCAAAGAGGAUAUGUGCCUAGGGAAAUUCUUAGCUCAAGCUAUCAAAGCUAGACAAGCUGAACUAGAUUUUUCUGAAAAGGCAGAACAGAUAGAAGUGGAGUCAGCGUUUUCCUGGGCUGGGCACGUGAAGCCAAGGGCUAGCUGGAAACUAAGGAGAAGCAGAGGCGGGUGUCGCCAGGUCAAACCAGAUGGGAUGUUAUCAAAGAUCCCACUGGUGUGUCCAGAGAAGGAAAUAGAUCUUACAGAGAUCUGAAGGCAGAGGCAAGAGAAGAAACUAGAAUUGGCGCCCAGAAUUCAGAGUGAUACAAAGCAAGAUACGUAGAGCAGGUGGAGAUGAACAGGGAUGUCCCAGGGUCCCUCUGCCUGGUCCUGGUGCACCAUCGGUGCUCUGGGACAGUCACUGAGAACACUUGUCCUGGCUGGGUAUGACUGGGCGGGAAGGUAUCACUAAACACUUGCUGUUCUAUCUUCUCCUAGUUCUUCCCAACUCUCUAGCAAUCCAGGUUUCCUGCUUCCUGCACUGACUCUGCAAGCUCUAUCCAUUCAUUUAUUCCCACCCACCUUCUGUUGAAACUUUCUGGGACGCUAGGAACAUGAGAGAGGAGGGACAGAUGCUAUACUUUCUGCAGGAUCUCCUGGAGUGGCUGGAACAGUGCCUUCUGGCCAGGCUCCCCCGUAAAUACUUGUCAGCUCAGCCUCUAACCCUUGCUGCCCAGCUGGCCCUCCCCAACAUCAUGCAGCCCCCACAAAGCUCAGCCAUCCCAGCUGUGCACCACCCUUCUGCUCCCGUGCCAGCCUCCCGCGCCUGCUCUCUGACUUCAGGCUUCUUCUCUGGCUCCACAUCAGCUCUGGCUCUUCUUUGUACUCCUGGUUAUCCCACCCCAGCAACCCACUCCAGCCUUCCUUUGUCACACUUGCCUGAUGUUGGUGUCACUUGCAGCUUUGUCCUCUUGAGUCCCUCGUAUCCAAGCCCACAUGCAAGGCAGGUGGAGAGGUGCUCCUAAACAUAACCAUGUUGGGCCAGUCCCCUGGCCUGGUUGGCACGGACACCUGUGACCAUGGCCCAAAUGGAAUAGCAGAGCUUUCAUUCCAGUGGCAAAGCUUCAAGGAUAUUACGAGUUCCCUGGCUCUGGGGAUCCCUGUGUUUCUGUGUGACAGCACCCCGGCAUCUCAGCAGGUAAGACAUUUUGCAGCUGGCAGAUCUGCAUGGGUUCUGAUUCUCACUGGAGCUAAUUUGAAGUGCCUCCACUCAGGUAGCCAAACGUGAACAUCAGCUCUGCAUGGCCCAUGUUCACGUGGGGCUCAGAGGUUAUCCAAAUUAAACGUUCUUAGGAAUCGUAGUUAAUGCUCACAAAUAAACAUAAAAUCAGCAUGUGAGUAAGGGAUUCCAGCUAAUAGCAUUUUUAGUUAGUAAAUCAGUUUUAAUCAGGGAUUUAAUAACAUUCUAAUAAUAAAUACUAUUUAUUUGGGGCUAGAUUAUAGAGAUUAUCUUAAAAAUUUGGUAUGUCAAGAAUUGUUUUUUAUAUGCUCAAUUGCUUGUAACCCCACAUAAUAUUAUGUUGCUAUGGCUCAUUCGUCCAGGGAAAAAUUAGAGAGAGUCCAUGAUUGAAGGUCAGAAUGAAUGGCAUGGCUCCCAAUGUGAUAUGGGGAUGGACAGAGGCAGGAAAUGUAUCAAGAACCCGAACAGCUAACACAUACUGAGCAGGGAUGCCAGAGAGGGCCUGGGACCCUAGCAGAGACAGGAAGAGCUGGGAAGGGAUCUGAGGAAAGCAGGUCCGAGACCAGAACAUCUAGAGUUAAUUCUUCUCAGGUUUCACAGGGGAAUUUGAGCCCCAGGUGGGCUGAGAGUCUUGCUCAAAUUAGUAACAGAAAUGAACCAGAACCCGGCUCUCUUGAGUCCCAGUCCUAUAGGUUGGCGUGAGUCCUAGCUGAGCAGACAGCUCCUACCUGAUUUUGGUUUGGGUUCAAACAGCUAUUUCUCCCACGGCCCUAGGGGUCAGGUGCCCCUGUGGCAUUUGAAGAUUGAGGGGAUGUCGGGGAUGAGGGUAGAGCAUAGUAGCCUGGUGGCCCUCGCCCACUGACUCAUGAAGAGCUCACACCUGCCUCCCACCCUAAGGGCACUGUAUGGCACUGAAAGAGAAAAGGGACUUAAAUGCCUUUUUCUCUGAGAAUUCCAUGCACCAUUUGAGAUACUGUGUGAAACCUGAGGCUUGUAAAACCAGGGCGGGGACUCGGCUUGUCACCGUGCACUCUUGGUUUGCUUGUGGAGGAAAGCCAACAGACUGAUAUUGGGAAAUUAGAAUUCUAGAAAGUGAGGGUCAGAAGGCUGGAGCAAGGUCUUGAAGCAAGUGUCCUCAUUUACAGGUAAAGGAUCUGAGACCCAGAGAGACUAGCCCAAAGCCACAGGUUGAGUUACUGAACAAGAUCCUUUCAUCUCAGGACUGUGCAUUCAGCUCUGUCCACUCGACCUUUCUGUCCACAUUCAGCACAGCAAUAAGGCAGCGCCUUCCAGUCUGGGUCCCCAAACACAUCAUUAGCUGGGAAGACACUGGAAGCACUGCAUUCUUCGGGCUGUGCUGUCAACUUUGACUUCAAAGAAGCUAAACAAUACUUGUAGAGACUUCCACUCCCAGUCAAGAUGGAAUCAGAUUUACCUUCCACCUGAAGCAACUCAAAAACAAGACAGAAUAAUAAAGCAAUGACACUCAAGACAUUGGACAUUGGACAAUGGAGGAUAGUGAUUUCCUGAGCAAAUGGAAACAGCUGAGAUGUCUUCGCCUCACACUGACUUGGGGAUUGAAUCCGAGAGUUGGAGAGUUGCCCCUAAGAAGAGAAAGGAUGCCGGCUUGACUUUUGACCUCCUUAUGAAACACCGCAAUGAAUCCAUCUGCGAACACACACUGGGCUGGUAGAGACAGACGAGCAGAAAGUGUCUCAAAGCGGCUUCCCAGCAGCCCCUGCCACACAGCCGUCUACAUCUGCAUGCACACAAUUCCGACGCGUUCCGACAAAUGAUGUUUACGUUCGGAAUCCAGCUGUCAAGGGAGAACAGCUGCUGUCAGGUGCUUAAGGGCACCUCGAAGGAGUGUUUUCAGAUUUCAAAAAAACGUGUGAGCCCACACUGUUUCAACUGCUUCCCCGUGGAAGUUGCAGACUGAAGCUUCUUUGUUCCUGCUGAAUGACUCAUGAAUGCCCUUUAAAAGAGAACGAAACAGACAUGUUUUGAUGGGGAAAAUACAUAAAGAAUGCAGUGCAUUUUUCCAAACAGCCGUCAGACCAUCUAAUUUAGGCCAAUAAGGGCAAACUCGCCUGCGUUCUCAGGCUGACCUUCCCAGCGAGGGCCUUGUCCUGGCCCUGGGCUCCUGGGUGAGGGCCGCACUGACCAAGGCAGGAAGGGUAAGGCCAGCUUUCCCAAGGUUGUUAGUCUUCCUGGGGUUCCAUUUGAAAAGAGGCUUCCUGUUCUUCUAGAAGGUUGUUUUUCUUCACUGGGUAAAUCAUUUCCAGUAGCAGUGGGAUGUAAUAAUUGUAAGAAGAUAGUGCGUUUAUAUAGCACUUACUGUGUGCUAAACAUGGUCCAUGUGCAGUAAUUCCUUUAAUCCUCAUAGUAUUCCCAAUGAAUCACUGAGGCACAGAGAUAGUAAGUCAGUCACCCAGGGUCACACAGCUAGUAAGUGGCACAGCUGGGGUACAAACCAGGUGGUGUAGCUACAGAGUCUGGGCUGUGUGUGGUGGAAGGAGCACUUCCCGUGGAGUCGGGAAUCCCGGGUUUGAGUCUGGGCUCUACCCUUUACAAUCUGUGCACUCUGAGCCUUGGUUUCCUACUCUGCAAUUUGAGGUUAAAGCCAGCUCGCAUUGUUAGAGGAUUAGCCGUUGGAGUAGGCCCUCAGCUAAGGUAAGCCGCGCCUGAACGCCGGUGAGCACGGCACAUCCUCCAGGGGCCUUACCCCACUCCCUCCGGUUUUGGGAAGCCCUUCUAUUCUGCAGUGCUGGGUGGAGUAGCAGAAAAAGGCAGGCGAGGGUCCAAUGGGCCUUUAGGACACAGUGACUUAUUGAUGUGAGUGGUCUGGAUUGAUACUGGUAGUGCCCCGCCAACACACACACGCAAUAUAAACAGAUGCAUGGGCUCCUAAUACACACACACCAGAUACACGUACACGUGCUCCUAAUAUACACACACUCACACACAUACACAAACACACACAUACACAUACAUGUACUCCUAAUACACACACACACACACUCACACAACAAACAACUAACCAACCGGAACCCACCAGCGCUGAGCUGCAGUGCCCGUUAGCUGCGUAAAGAAACCCCUGGAGGGUUUACUGUUAACAUCAGUCUUGUGGUGAUCCCGCUGCCUUGGCUUGUAACCCCAGGGCCUAGCUCUGGGUCCUGGGAUACACACAUUUCCAGGGAAUGUGGCUGGUUUACAUCAACUCUGGAUCACUUCUCUUCCCAUUGGGGAAAUCCCAUGUUGUUGAUAAAGGGAAGCAACUAUGAAAUCACAGCAGUGAAAGACAUAGGAAGCGCCCUCUGGUGCAGGGCCCUGAUUUCUGGCACGCGCGGAUGUAUGUCAUCCAGGGCCACCUGCACCCUGAUGUUCUUCUUAACAGGAAGGAAAUAUUUUCACCUGGGUGGGGGAGGGGGCGUUACCUGAAAGUGGUUCUCUCCCCGGUAGAAGCUCCUCACUGAUUCUACCUCCUGCAUGGCAUUUUUGGGCACCUCCCUCCACCCCUACCCCCAGGUUGAGAGCUUCUGCCCUUUAGACCUUAACACCCACGGGGGGUUUACCCAGUGAAGCUGCUCUAAAUGGAGCUGCCCAGUUGAGACCAAUGUCCAGGGAUUGCAUGAAAACCCAGGCUCAAGAUUUGCGUCAAGCACCUAUCAGUUACCCCCAACCUCUCUACUUCCUCAGCUUCAGUGCCCACCUCCCAGAUCUUGCCUCAUGCACCCUGGGGUGCGACAGGCCACUGUGAACCCACCGGUUCAAUUGAUCCUGUUCUUGAUGUUUAGACUUUCUAGUUAUAUAAGCCAAUAAAGUCCCCUUUUUAUGCUUAA
rnacentral:lncRNA from 1 species